UUGGGGGAUAAUGGGGUAUUUUUGAAGAGAUAAAGCAUGAUUUUGGGUUAAAUGGGGGAUUUUGCAAGAGAAAAUGCGUGCUUUUGGGGUUAAAUGGGGGAUUGUUGAAGAGACAAUGCAUGAUUUGGGGUUAAGGGGGGGAUUUUGAAGAGAAAAUGCAUGAUUUUGUGGAAAAUGUGGGAUGUUGCAAGAGAAAAUGCAUGAUUUUCGGGUUAAAUGGGGGAUUUUCGAAGAGGAAAUGCUUCGUUUCAGGUUGAAUUUGGGGUUUUUGAAGCCAAAAUGCGUGAUUUUCACUUAAAUGGGGGAUUUUCCAAACGAAAAUGCAUGA
ensembl:lncRNA